AAUGAACGUUGGCGGCGUGGAUUAGGCAUGCAAGUCGCACGCUCCGCAAGGGGCGUGGCGCAAGGGUGAGUAAGGCGACGGCAACCAACCCCGGGGUCGGGCAUAGCCGCGGGAAACCGCGGGUAAUUCCCGGCGACGUCGGGACGGGACCUCCCGUCCGGACCACAGGUGUGAUUCCGCCCUGGGACGGGCCGUCGUGGUAUCAGCUAGUUGGUGGGGUAACGGCUCACCAAGGCGAUGACGCCUACCGGGCGUGCGAGCGUGGCCCGGCACACUGGGACUGAGACACUGCCCAGACACCUACGGGUGGCUGCAGUCGAGAAUCUGCGGCAAUGGGCGCAAGCCUGACCGAGCGACGCCGCGUGGAGGACGAAGGCCUUCGGGUUGUAAACUCCUGUCGAGGGGGAACAAGGUGCCGUGCAGAACGGUGCUUGAGUGAUCCCUGGAGGAAGCACGGGCUAAGUUCGUGCCAGCCGCCGCCGUAAGAC
rnacentral:rRNA from 1 species